GGGUCGGGGUGGGGGGCCCGUGGGCAGAGGGGGUGGCGGGGCCAGAUCGUGAGUUUGGGCUUCAUCCUGAGAUCAGUGCCCGCCUGGGGCGGAGGGAGAGGGACGAAUAGACGUUUCUUUAAUUUUUUUUUUUUUAAUUAUCAUAGGAAAUUUCAAGCCUUAAAAGUAGACACCCACAUCCACCAGCCUCAUCCCUUAGCACCCGCCAGCCACAAAUGCGUGUCUUCUGUCCCGACAUCCUCCCUCUUGCCCUUUUCCUGCAUUUUUCUGAAGCCAACCCCAGACCUUGCAGGAUCUCGUCCCUAAAUGUUCCAGCGUGUCUUUAAAAGGCAAAGACGCUUUGAAAGCGUUGUUCCUGGAAGACAUCCCCAGUAUCUGGGAAGGUCGCCGCGGGGCGUGCCCCCAGCUGGCAGGCUCUGCCCUGUGCUGUGUGCACGUCCCCUCUCCCCCUCUCUGGGCCUGGGCGGGCCAGCCUGACCGGCCCUCCCUCGCACGGGUCGCCCGGGGCCCUCUUCUCUGCGGACCCGCCCCCCUCCUCUCCCGUCUCGCUGUCCCUCUGUCCCCCCAGGCCCCAGCCCUGAGCCGCCCGCCUGUCCCUGCAGCUCUUCGAGGGCCUGAAGGCCUACAAAGGCGGCGACCAGCAGGUGCGCCUCUUCCGGCCGUGGCUCAACAUGGAACGGAUGCUGCGCUCGGCCCAGCGCCUGUGCCUGCCGGUGGGCUUUCGACAAGGCCGAGCUGCUCGAGUGCAUCCGCCGGCUCAUCGAGGUGGACAGGGACUGGGUGCCGCAGGGCGCGGGCACCAGCCUCUACGUGCGGCCUGUGCUCCUGGGCAACGAGUCCUCGCUGGGAGUCAACCGAGCCUCGCAAGCGCUCCUGUACGUCAUCCUCUGUCCCGUGGGCGCGUACUUCCCUGGUGACGCCAUGACCCCCGUGUCC
rnacentral:lncRNA from 1 species